rnacentral:rRNA from 1 species
GUCCACGCCGUAAACUAUGGAUGCUAGCUGUUAUUCGUACCGACCCGAGUAGUAGCGAAGCUAACGCGUUAAGCAUCCCGCCUGUGGAGUACGGCCGCAAGGCUAAAACAUAAAGGAAUUGACGGGGACCCGCACAAGCGGUGGAGCGUGUUGUUUAAUUCGAUGGUAAGCGAAGAACCUUACCCAGGCUUGACAUCCUUGGAAGCACUGCGAAAGCAGAGUGUGCCUUCGGGAACCAAGUGACAGGUGCUGCAUGGCCGUCGU